rnacentral:ncRNA from 1 species
CUUAUCAAGAGUGGUGGAGGAACCAGGUCCUGUGAAACCCGGCAACCUGACUGAUUCAUAUAGAUUCAGACAAGGUGCUAAAUCCUGCGGAAGAGAUCCGAAAGAUGAGG